rnacentral:tRNA from 1 species
UGCGGCGUAGUAUAAUGGUUAAUGCGCACGGCUCUAACCCGUGAAAUGCUCGUUCGAUUCGAAGUCGCCGCUGAA